GACGAACCGUACGAACGUUAUUCGGAAUCACUGGGCUUAAAGGGCGCGUAGGCGGCGCGGUAUGUCAACCUGUGAAAUCUCCUGGCUCAACUGGGAGCUUGCAGGCGAAACUGCCGUGCUGGAGGUGUGGGAGAGGUGCGUGGAAUUCCUGGUGAUAGCGGUGAAAUGCGUAGAUAUCAGGAGGAACACCUGUGGCGAAAGCGGCGCACUGGACCACAACUGACGGCUGAGGCGCGAAAGCUAGGGGAGCAAACAGG
rnacentral:rRNA from 1 species